rnacentral:lncRNA from 1 species
AUGUUUUCCUUUGGAUUCCGUCUUGGCAUUGGCAACUCCUGUAAAAGGGGAAGAGUGAAAAACCAUUCAUCAAAAAGACCUGAAUGCCUGAGAAGAGAGAGGAUACAAGAGAGGAUGAGAGAGGAAAAGGGUGGUCCUGCUCAUCAUGCAACCCUGCCCACACAUACUUACUCCCAGCACAAGAUGGAAAGCUCUUUGUUCUCAAACUUGCUCUCAGGCAGCAUCCAUCUGUGUCUGACACCAAGGGUUUUGACUCAAGGCCAGGGAUAAGCUUGCCACUGAUGUUGGUUAGAAAGGUAAAGAGAAGAUAUUUCAGAGGAAAAGAGAGAACUUAACACUUUUAUUUUUGUUUAAAUUCAAGAUUUUAAAGAUUUGUGGCCUCGUUAUGUUAGGAGAAAAUCUGCUCUUGCUGGGCUAAGAGUUAAGACUGUACAAAAUUGUCCAAUAUGUUUGCCAAUUUUAUGCUGAGAAACAAGAUAUUUUCAUUUUGGAACUUAUUAAUGACUUCUGAAAGGUAUUUGAACUCAUAUACAUAAUUUUAAAGCCACAUAAUUUGUAUUGCUGAGGUUUAAAAGAAUCAAAGAAAGAAAAUUAUCUCAAGCUGAAAGCUUAACUACCAUGUUUCAACCUGGAGGUACUUUUUAAUCAGAAACUCUAAUGGAUCUUUGACAAUAAUGUUAGGAACGAAGUUGCUUUAACUCAGGAGGGUACCUACAAAAUGAGAGAGAACACAGAUAACUGCAUGGUAAUUGCUUUAUAUUCAGUACCUGAAACAUGGUAUUAGUCGUUAUGGAUGAUGACAGAUGGGUCAUGAUGCUUUUGCUUGCUUUAGCACUGCAAUUGCCAAGCACGAUUCAAUUAAUUUUCACAUUUCCAUAUGAAUGUUCUCAUCUAUAGCAUUUAACAAGCUUUACCUUUUUAUCCUAUUUUAUAAGUUGUUUACCUCCUGAAAAUGACAUGUUGGGUGGAGGUAACCAAUUGAAAAUAAAUGCUAAGAAAUAUUCUGGAAAAUAUUGUUU